rnacentral:misc_RNA from 1 species
AUGAUUACUAAAGAACAGCAUGCAAAAAUGAUUUCGAAAACCAAAAUCUAAUUUUUCGCGAGGCCUUAAAUUUGACAACUUAUCAACUCACUCGGCUAAGCUUUAAUCCCAAACUAGUUACAGUUGGCUAUGAUAUGGAUCCAUUUCUUCCAUUCACCCAGUUUAGGGAACAAUUUGUCUAUAAAAAAUAAUCAUCUCUUUCAUUGAAUGCCUCAGAUUCACAUAUUUAAGCAAGAAAGGUUAUCUAAAAUACUCCUAUCAAAACUUAAAAUUGUACCACUUCAGCUCCACGCCUCUUCCAUACGACCAAUCUCUCAAAAAUGCAUAUUUUCAGCUCUAGUUUAAAU